GAUGAACGCUGGCGGCGUGCCUAACACAUGCAAGUCGAACGAAGCACUUUGAUUCCUUCGGGGUGAUGAGUGACUGAGUGGCGGACGGGUGAGUAACGCGUGGGUAACCUGCCUCACACAGGGGGAUAACAGUUGGAAACGACUGCUAAUACCGCAUAAGCGCACAGUGCCGCAUGGUACAGUGUGAAAAGUUUUUUCGGUGUGAGAUGGACCCGCGUCUGAUUAGCUAGUUGGCGGGGUAACGGCCCACCAAGGCGACGAUCAGUAGCCGGCCUGAGAGGGUGGACGGCCACAUUGGGACUGAGACACGGCCCAAACUCCUACGGGAGGCAGCAGUGGGGAAUAUUGCACAAUGGGGGGAACCCUGAUGCAGCGACGCCGCGUGAACGAUGAAGUAUUUCGGUAUGUAAAGUUCUAUCAGCAGGGAAUAAAAUGACGGUACCUGACUAAGAAGCACCGGCUAAAUACGUGCCAGCCGCCGCCGGUAAUAC
rnacentral:rRNA from 1 species